rnacentral:rRNA from 1 species
UGCAGAGAACUUUCCAGAGAUGGAUUGGUGCCUUCGGGAACUCUGACACAGGUGCUGCAUGGCUGUCGUCAGCUCGUGUCGUGAGAUGUUGGGUUAAGUCCCGUAACGAGCGCAACCCUUGUCCUUAGUUACCAGCACGUUAUGGUGGGCACUCCAAGGAGACUGCCGGUGACAAACCGGAGGAAGGUGGGGAUGACGUCAAGUCAUCGUGGCCCUUACGGCCUGGGCUACACACGUGCUACAAUGGUCGGUACAAAGGGUUGCCAAGCCGCGAGGUGGAGCUAAUCCCAUAAAACCGAUCGUAGUCCGGAUCGCAGUCUGCAACUCGACUGCGUGAAGUCGGAAUCGCUAGUAAUCGUGAAUCGGAAUGUCACGGUGAAUACGUUCCCGGGCCUU